rnacentral:rRNA from 1 species
CCUACGGGUGGCUGCAGUGAGGAAUAUUGGUCAAUGGGCGAAAGGCUGAACCAGCCAUCCCGCGUGCAGGAUGACGGCCCUAUGGGUUGUAAACUGCUUUUGUACCUGAAGAAACCUGGUUACGAGUAACCAGUUGCCGGUAAGGUAUGAAUAAGCAUCGGCUAACUCCGUGCCAGCAGCCGCGGUAAUACGGAGGAUGCAAGCGUUAUCCGGAUUCAUUGGGUUUAAAGGGUGCGCAGGUGGGAAAAUAAGUCAGUGGUGAAAUACUGCCGCUUAACGGUAGAAUUGCCAUUGAUACUGUUUUUCUUGAGUAUGGUUGAGGUAGGUGGAAUGUGUUGUGUAGCGGUGAAAUGCAUAGAUAUGACACAGAACGCCGAUUGCGAAGGCAGCUUACUAAGCCAUUACUGACGCUGAGGCACGAAAGCGUGGGGAUCAAACAGGCUUAGAUACCCGAGUAGUC